CUGGUCAUUCGAUUUUAAUUUUCCGUCUCUUUCCUCAGAAAAAUUUGUCAUUGUACGUGUUUCCUCUUCUCUGUCUUUAAGAAAUUUGAAAAUUCCCUGUCGUUUGAGGUUUGGGUUUGAUAGAUACGUGAUUAAAUAUAUGCAGACAAUGUAAAACUGUCCACUUGUUUAAAUUAUGUAAGAAAUAUAAGCUUGUACUCAUGUUUAUGUUUGUACAAAAGCAAAUGAAAAUCUUCAUAUCUACUUCUCUUGAUUCUUUUCGAUUAUCUCUACCAGCAACAUGAUAUUGUUCUAUAUGCUAACAAUCAGCCAACUCAUCU
rnacentral:lncRNA from 1 species